rnacentral:lncRNA from 1 species
GAAAAUACAAAAGCACUACUGUUUAACAGGAAAGUUACUAUCCAGAAAUUAACCCACAAAGGUGGGAAGAGUAUUUACCCGCUAAUCUCUUUAUUCCCUCGCCUGACAAAAUAUCUGCAUUCCUGGGCGGCCUCAAGAAAUGAACUACAGACAUCUAUUCCCUUUGUGAUACCUCCUUGGAAUCAAAGUGUGGAGUGUAACAAUGUGCCUCCACACACUCACACUAGUUGAUGCUUCAUCUUGGUGAAAUCAAGUUUUUGGAAUUACCUUUCCUAAGAUCAUUCUAUUCACAGAGAAGGAGCUUAAUGAAACUAUGGUGGAUGUAUUCUAGACAGAAGAAGGAUUAAACCAAGAUAAAAACAAUGUGAAUGAGGAAAGUGGGAGUAACAGGGAUUCCAAGAGAAAGAAGGAGAACUGGUAAUUGAUGUGGGGCCAAACAGCACAGUACAGCAGAAAGGAUCUAAAUUUGGGAAUUAUACUGAGAUUUUCCAUUUGUCAAAAAUGAGGAGUACUAAUCAGUAGUGCUAUGGAAACAAGACACUAACAGUUAUAGUCCGGAAGAAGAGAUGAUAACAUCUGUCCCUAAAAAGAGGCAGCACAGCAUGGAGAGAGAUACUUCUGCUUGGGUGAAGGAGAAAACAGUGAGUACAAGACUUUGCCUCAGAUCCCAACACUCAGUGUUGGGCAGCACCCAUGACCCCAGACUUCAGGCCAAUACCUACUGACUAAGCCUCUGGGUUGGUUCCAAUGCCAGGCCAGAUCCCACAACUCCAGACUCCAGGCUUGUUCAGCAUACUUGGUCUCUGGGCCCACAGCAACACCAGGCCAAACCCAAUGGCACCAGAGGACCCAGCCUCCAGACUGACCCCUUUGGAUACAUGUUCUAGGCUGAUCCAGCAUCAGGCCAGCCCCUGUGAUCCUUGGCUCCAGGCUCACCUCAAGUUCCAACUCAGCUCUGACAUAUGUCAACCCAUAUAGCCCCAGGCCUCAGGCCCAUGCCAGUGCCAGAUAAACACCCCUAGCCUCAGGCACCAGACUGGCACCUGUAGAUACAGGCUCGAGGCUUGCACAAUGCUAGGCUAGUCCUUGCAGUUCCACACUCUAGGCCAGCCCCUGUGACCCCAUGCUCCAACAGAACUAGGGUACAGGCUUUCUCUAGAAGACCCAGGAUCCAGGUUUGCCCCAGUAGACUUUUACUAGGAUAUCUCCCACGGACUCAGGCUCUAGGACUGCCUCCUGUGGAUCAGGUUCCAAGUCCACCUCCACAACCCUAGAACCAAGGCCAGACUUUGCAGGCCUAGCUUCCGAACCAACUACUGCACAACCAGCCUCUCUAAACCAAGGCUCUAGGCAUUAGGAUAGCACCUAUGAUGCCAGGCUCCACAGUAGCCCUUAUGGGUCCAUUUUCCAUGUCUGUCCCAGUACCAGGCUGCACCUAGGCUCCAGGCCAGUCUUCAUGGCCUCAGACUCCAGAGGAUCCAAAGUCCAGUACUACUCUGGCAUAUCUAGACUACAGGCCCGCCCCAGUAGACCCUGGUGUCAGGCCAACUACCAGAGAGAGACUGAAGCUCCAAUGCCACCCCCACAG